GCCCGGCUAGCUCAGUCGGUAGAGCAUGAGACUCUUAAUCUCAGGGUCGUGGGUUCGACCCCCACUGUUGGGCG